UGCCUGCUGCUCACGCGGAGGAUUCGUCUCCUCCUCCACGAUGGCUGCUUAUCCUUCCCUCCAUCGCGGCCGCUGCACAUGAGAGUAGACAUGAUGUCCUGCAUUCGCUUGCUAGAGCACAUCCAUCACAAUAAUUGAUUAGCUAUGGAAGAUCGCAGAUGAAGAAGAAACCCCAAGAAAAU